UACGGAGGGUGCGAGCGUUGUCCGGAUUCACUGGGCGUAAAGCGCGCGCAGGCGGUCUUCUACGUCUGGGGGUGAAAACCCCGGGGCUCAACCCCGGGGACUGCCUUGGAUACGGGAAGACUUGAGGAUCGGAGAGGCAAGGGGGAAUUCCACGUGUAGCGGUGAAAUGCGUAGAGAUGUGGAGGAACACCUGUGGCGAAGGCGCCUUGCUGGCCGAUUUCUGACGCUGAGGCGCGAAAGCGUGGGGAGCAAACAGG
rnacentral:rRNA from 1 species